GGAACGUCGUCACUUUCACCGAUUCCGUCUCCGGUUGCCGGCGUUCUUCUUCGAAUUCCGGCUGGUCCUCGCCGCCGGCAGUACUCCGGCAAGCUUCCGGCACCAACUCCACCAGAUCCUGGUCGCCCGCGUCAAGGCGCACCUCCGACACCAUCGCCCUCGCCUUGAUUCGGUCCAAAUCGACCUAUCCAUCUCCGACCUGAUCCUCUGCCAUUGAUGCUGUGGGCAAGCUCGUCCCCGCCUUCCGUCUAUUCUUCUUUGCGUGUACCACUCACUCGACAAGAACUGCAGCAUAGCCCAGUGGUGGGGCCCGUUUGUCAGCGACCAACAGAUCCACCUCAUCGCCCGACAUCCCAGUCAGCGCCUUGUCACCUCCCUGGCCCGCUCGUCAGUCCCUGUGGCUGGGUGCUGCUCGGUGAGAAAAGCUUCUGGCCAUUUCUCUGUCUUUUCUGAAAAAUCCAGAAAAUGUUUGAAACUUGCCAUAUUCAUAUCUUCUAAACCAUAACUCGGAUUAAAAUGUAUUUUAUAUGUUUUUCGAUCAGAAAAAUGCAAGGAUCAUUAAUAUGCCAUCCAUAUGCCUGUUUGCAUCUCGCAUCAUGUCACGCGUUGAUAGUCGUGCAUUUUCACCUCACAUAU